rnacentral:rRNA from 1 species
AUGGCCGCCUGCGCAGGCUGCUCCAUGCACCGUUGGCGGCAGAUCUCUCCGUCGGAAUCUCCUCGGUCAGCACCUACUCCCGAAGCUCAUGGAGGUCUUCAUCAUCCUUGGACGACUGCUCGCGGGUUGGUUCCUGAGCACCAUGUCUUCCUCUUCUACCUUUUGAAAAUCUCGAUGGCAGUGCAAGGAGUUGCAUGGGGCAUAUCCAUCGCAGGGUGGAUCAUGUCCCCUAUCAUCUCCAAGCUUCUGGACAAAGCCUUGUCCUACUGCAAAUUCGACAAAGAAGAGACGCUUCAACGCCUAUUGACAGACGUUCUCCCUCGAUUGGCGCUUACCCUAGAAGCAGUGGAAAACGUCCAUCAUAGGAAAUUCUUUGAGGAGAUGGUGAGGGGGCUCAAAUCCGCUUUCUAUGACAUGGAAUAUAUCCUCGAUGAUCUGGAGUACAUUCGUCACCAAAAGAAGCUGGACAAACUGAAAAGUCUCCAACAAAAGAGAGGGGAGAAAAGGGCGAGAACUGCUCGGAUGCUGAAGCUAGCACCUCAAACAAGGAGGUAUGUGAACCGAAAAUUCCAACCAACCCUAUUGUCGAGAGGUUAA